GGGUGGUAAAUUCCAUCUAAAGCUAAAUAUUGGCGAGAGACCGAUAGCGAACAAGUACCGUGAGGGAAAGAUGAAAAGCACUUUGGAAAGAGAGUUAACAGUACGUGAAAUUGUUGGAAGGGAAACGCUGAAGUCAGACUUGCUUGCCGAGCAAUCGGUUUGCAGCCAGCAUCAUUUCCGGGAUGGAUA
rnacentral:rRNA from 1 species